rnacentral:rRNA from 1 species
GGGUUAUAUUGCACACAUGGGCGAAGCCUGAUGCGCAGCCAUGCCGCGUGUGUGAAGAAGGAUCUUCGGAUCUGUAAAGCUACUUUAGGUUGGGAGGAACGGGCACUAGAUGCGAAUACGCUUUGGUGUCUUUGACGGUACCUGACUUAAUAAGCACCGGCUAACUACUGUGCCAGCAGCG